AACGAACGCUGGCGGCAUGCCUAACACAUGCAAGUCGAACGAGACCUUCGGGUCUAGUGGCGCACGGGUGCGUAACGCGUGGGAACCUGCCCUUAGGUUCGGAAUAACUCCCCGAAAGGGGUGCUAAUACCGGUUAAUGUCUUCGGACCAAAGAUUUAUCGCCUUUGGAUGGGCCCGCGUUGGAUUAGCUAGUUGGUAGGGUAAAAGCCUACCAAGGCGACGAUCCAUAGCUGGUCUGAGAGGAUGAUCAACCACACUGGGACUGAGACACGGCCCAGACUCCGACGGGGAGCAGCAGUGGGGAAUAUUAGACAAUGGGCGAAAGCCUGAUCCAGCAAUGCCGCGUGAGUGAUGAAGGCCUUAGGGUUGUAAAGCUCUUUUACCCGGGAUGAUAAUGACAGUACCGGGAGAAUAAGCUCCGGCUAACUCCGUG
rnacentral:rRNA from 1 species